CUGUGCAUGAGUGCGACGAGAAGAAGUUUGUGGACGAGGAGGAGGGAGAGCUGUUGCUUCUCACUUGCAGCACUCUCUCAGAGGACAGGUAACUGGAUUUUGUUUCCGUUCCAAUGGUCUGUUGUAGCAGAAGGAAGCUGUGGCUGCCUGAGCCUGAGCCUCAACAUCUGGAAGAGUUGGGAGAUACCCUGGGUGCCUGUGAGGAUAAAGGGAUCUGAUACACAUCUUAGGGCAAUGUGUCUGCAUUCUGCAAUCCCUCUAAGAACAGAUGCUGGCUUUGUAGAAUGUCUCUGUAGGAGGUGUGAAAGGAAUUGGGAGUCUCAUCUGCCUGGACACAGAAACUCUGCUGUCUUUCACAUGGCAGGGGAGUGAUGAUGCAGCAGAGGAGCAGGUGAGUGAGGCAUGGGGCAGCCUCCUGAAAAGGCUGCUUGCAGCCUCAGAUGUUUGCAAUGCUUGAGAAUCC